CUUUGCUCACAGUUUUUGGUUCACCUGCCAUUUCUCUUGCUCUGAUUUGGCUACAUGAGUGUCUGAAAUCAAAUUUUGAGCUGGUAAGGGAGAUUUUUACCUUUUUGGCGGUCGGUGGUAGCUCCGGUGCGGCGACGGUCAGCGAUCAGCCUCCUUCUCUGGUGUUUGGUUCUUCCUCUUCGGCGGGGGCUGGCAGUUAGGGUUUGGGUUUCCGUGUGACGUGAAGUACUUAUACCAAUCCCACGUUGAUCUUGACCAUCCAUCACAAUUGAUCUCGUCUGUCCGAUCGCACAUAAGGAGAAAAUGAAUUUGUACCGUUCAUCGCGAUUGAUCUCGACCGUCUGAUCACGCAUAAUGGGAAAACAAAAUCAAGGCCGUUCACGCGCGAAGGAUCGAUCCUAGGUCUUCCGAUCGCGGUGCAUGCGGAUUGCCUGCAUGGCACCGACGUCCGCGUGCCUUGCCACGCGGCGUACUUCGAUUCGUUGGGGCUGCUGACUGG
rnacentral:lncRNA from 1 species